rnacentral:lncRNA from 1 species
AGUGGGUUUUACAAGCAGCAUUGCAGAGAGUUAUGGAAAGGCAGCCAAAGGCUGUUUUAAUGGAAUAUUGUUCUAAUUGCCUGGAUUUAGGGCAAAUGUUUUUAUUUAAUCUCCAUAUAACAGAUCUCAGUUUGCUUAUUGGGCUUUCCUUAUGCAUAGGAACUCCUGACAGUGAGAUCUACAGUGGUAGAGACCACAGAAUACUGAAGGCAAGAUCCACAAUGUGGUUCUGAGAGGAAGAUUUUGCCCUUAAUCAGUACUGACUGGAUUUGCCAUGUUGCAAGCUGAUAGUUUCAAAAAUAAGGGAUAAGAGAGGGGUUUUUUUAAUUGGGCAUUUUCCUCCCCCUAACAACCAACACUUGCCUGCUUUAUUUUUGUUCAGGUUGCUGAAACUGAGAGUGAAUCCCCCGAUACAGAAUCGCUACAGCAAAUCCCAAGCACUGAACCGCAGCAAGUCAAUGAAGAAGCAGACAAGGAGAGAACAAAUCUUCUAACAGAAAGAGAUUUCUGUUUAGACAAAACUCAGACUUUACAGAUGAAGAAAAAAACAGGUUCUGAAAAAAGGAAGAAAAAAGCUUCAAAGAGCGACAGAUUUCCGUCUGGCAAAGAAAAGAAGCUUGUGCCCGGGAAAUUAUCCAGUUCAGACGGUGCAGGUCUGAGAAAGACACACACACCAAAACAUAAAAGAUUUUCCUCAGAGACGCAGAAUGCCAUGAUGGCUAGAGACCCCAAGACUGCCUCCCGGGCCCAUUCGGCUAUUCCGCUAGUGCCAGGAGAGAAAAUGAUUCCUACUCCUCCACCUGAGGUAUGUGAUAAACAAGGGGGGGAAAGUUGCAUUUAUCACUGGGAAUAUGUUCCAAGGGCUUUCAUGACCAGAAUUUCAUGUUUUGGAAAUAUGACUCAUGGUAUUGCUGAUAUGUAUGUUCAGAUUUUUUAAGAACCCCAGAGUGUUUCCUGUCUGACUCCCUGAAAAUUGUGUUUCUCCAAUUGAAAACCCAGUUCCCUUAGACAGGAUCCAUGCAAUCCGACCCUGGUCCCUGCUGACAUAGAUUGGACAGAUUCACUUUGGAGUCCGCCAGAGCUCCAGCUUCACUGGUUAUAGGGGUUGCUGUUGAGGUGGUAUGAAUUGGCUUGGCACCUAUUUGCAGGAUCAUUCUGAUUGUAGUGGAUGUUUACUGGUCCUGGAGUCAGUAAUUCAUUUGAUUAAUAGCACUCUUGCUGUUUAUCUGUAAUAAUCUAUCUGGGCAUGUUUACUGGAAACAUGCAAGAACUGGGGAGCCAAUAUCAAUCA